rnacentral:rRNA from 1 species
GGGACACGUGGUAUCCUGUCUGAAUAUGGGGGGACCAUCCUCCAAGGCUAAAUACUCCUGACUGACCGAUAGUGAACCAGUACCGUGAGGGAAAGGCGAAAAGAACCCCGGCGAGGGGAGUGAAAAAGAACCUGAAACCGUGUACGUACAAGCAGUGGGAGCCUCUUAAUGGGGUGACUGCGUACCUUUUGUAUAAUGGGUCAGCGACUUAUAUUCUGUAGCAAGGUUAACCGAAUAGGGGAGCCGAAGGGAAACCGAGUCUUAACUGGGCGUUAAGUUGCAGGGUAUAGACCCGAAACCCGGUGAUCUAGCCAUGGGCAGGUUGAAGGUUGGGUAACACUAACUGGAGGACCGAACCGACUAAUGUUGAAAAAUUAGCGGAUGACUUGUGGCUGGGGGUGAAAGGCCAAUCAAACCGGGAGAUAGCUGGUUCUCCCCGAAAGCUAUUUAGGUAGCGCCUCGUGAAUUCAUCUCCGGGGGUAGAGCACUGUUUCGGCAAGGGGGUCAUCCCGACUUACCAACCCGAUGCAAACUGCGAAUACCGGAGAAUGUUAUCACGGGAGACACACGGCGGGUGCUAACGUCCGUCGUGAAGAGGGAAACAACCCAGACCGCCAGCUAAGGUCCCAAAGUCAUGGUUAAGUGGGAAACGAUGUGGGAAGGCCCAGACAGCCAGGAUGUUGGCUUAGAAGCAGCCAUCAUUUAAAGAAAGCGUAAUAGCUCACUGGUCGAGUCGGCCUGCGCGGAAGAUGUAACGGGGCUAAACCAUGCACCGAAGCUGCGGCAGCGACACUAUGUGUUGUUGGGUAGGGGAGCGU